UACGGAGGGUGCAAGCGUUAUCCGGAUUUACUGGGUUUAAAGGGUGCGUAGGUGGGUAGGUAAGUCAGUGGUGAAAUCUUCGAGCUUAACUCGGAAACUGCCAUUGAUACUAUUUAUCUUGAAUACUCUGGAGGUAAGCGGAAUAUGUCAUGUAGCGGUGAAAUGCUUAGAUAUGACAUAGAACACCAAUUGCGAAGGCAGCUUACUACCUAGUUAUUGACACUGAGGCACGAAAGCGUGGGGAUCAAACAGG
rnacentral:rRNA from 1 species